UCACUAAUAACGACCGAUGAUUUGACUUCAGUUUGUGAAUAUGCCGAACAGAAGUAUUGAGGGCACUGGUUUGCCACUAAGCAUUACACAGAGAGCGAUCUAAUCUAUGAAAUAGAUUACCCAUGUUCCACGUGAACAUGAGACCUUGAAAACCCAAAUCGUUCAACCCUAGACGAAAAACAAAAGAACUGAAUUGACUACAACCUGCAUUAUGCGACACAGGCUCACAUUGCCUUUCA
rnacentral:lncRNA from 1 species